rnacentral:rRNA from 1 species
UAAAAAUUUAAAAUUUUUUCAUCAAAGUAGUAUUAGUUAUGGUCUUGAAAUUUAAAAAUUUUGGCGGUAUUUUAGUCUAUUCAGAGGAACCUGUUCUAUAAUUGAUAGUCCACGAUAGAUUGUACUUGAUUUAAUUAGUUUGUAUAUCGUCGUUAUUAAAUAUUUUAAAAGAAUUAAAUAUUUAAUAUUUUUUAUUAAAAAUUAUAUCAGAUCAAGGUGCAGUUUAUAAUUAAGAAGAAAUGGGUUACAAUAAAUUUAUUUAAAUGGAUUUAAAAAUGAAAAUUUUAAUGAAGGUGGAUUUGAAAGUAAUAAAAUUUAUAUUAGUUUUAUGAUUUUAGCUCUAAAAUGUGU